UACGUAGGGUGCAAGCGUUAAUCGGAAUUACUGGGCGUAAAGCGCACGUAGGCGGAUUCCUAAGUCGGGGGUGAAAUCCUGGAGCUCAACUCCAGAACUGCCUUCGAUACUGGGAAUCUUGAGUCCGGGAGAGGUGAGUGGAACUGCGAGUGUAGAGGUGAAAUUCGUAGAUAUUCGCAAGAACACCAGUGGCGAAGGCGGCUCACUGGCCCGGUACUGACGCUGAGGUGCGAAAGCGUGGGGAGCAAACAGG
rnacentral:rRNA from 1 species